rnacentral:misc_RNA from 1 species
CAUACGCCGCCGGAUCGGCACAGCGCUCGAAUAGCAGCAUUUUGGCGAGUGCUGCCUCAUCAACCCCGACACUAUGCGAUUUUGAGAUGGACAUGCGAAUAGACAGCGCAUUGAGAAAGCGCUUGAUGAGUCUNNNNNNGCGGCCAAUCUGCGUUGCCGUUGUCAUCAAGGGCGCGAGCCUAUCAGCCGUGUUGAACCGGGCCACGAGAUCGGCUGGCAAGCUUGUGUGAACGGGUUGCAUAAACGCGCGAUCAACGCGCUUGC